UUUUUUUUUUUGUAUUUUUUAGUAGAGACGGGGUUUCACCGUGUUAGCCAGGAUGGUUUCGAUCUCCUGACCUCGUGAUCCACCUGUCUCGGCCUCCCAAAGUGCUGGGAUUACAGGCUUGAGCCACCGCGCCCGGCCACCUGUUGAUUUUAGAAUGCGUCAAAGCCGUCGAAGCUGUUGCCAGCAUCUGUGAAACAGGACUGACAUGGCGAGGGCCCGGGGUCUCCCACGGUGGAACUGCAGUGUCCGGAUCGCAGCUGGUGGGCUCCGUACCUGGGCAGGGCAGGCUCAAAGCAGCCAGUGUCCAGAAGGAGCUUCUGUCUCUCCCCCUUGGCACUGGCCACUCAUUUUAUAGAAGAGAUUUUCUUUAGACCAGAGUUUAUUAGAAAGCCCAGGAAAAUGAGAACUCGUACCCCUGUGAAAUACCUGCCACACGUAGCCCUAUAGAAGCCAGUUUGAUGGCUGUCAGGUGUUUGGCAUCAAGAUCAGUCUGUUGGCCUCGGCCUCGGUAAGCCCCGCAGGCCAGGGGUCUGGAGGAAGGAUGGGGUGCAGCCCACGACAGGUGAGGCUAUGGAACCCCGACGAAGGGGGCUGUGUUCAAGGAGUGAUCCACGCGGAGGAGGGAAACCAGGAGGAGGUCUUGGCAUACCACACUGUUUACCCCUGUCCUGAAGCAGGUACAGGACCCAAGGGGGCAGAGACGCUGGUCCUGGAAAAGCCACCGCCUGAGUGUCCCCCAGCCAGUGUCCCGCAGCCACAGCCACAAUCCCCGCAGCUUCCGAGCUUCAAGCAGCAUAUUUGUUCUUUUGUGGUUCUGGAGGCCAGAAGUCCAGACCAGACCUCCCUGGGCGGCCGCUGAGGUGUGGGCAGGCCGUGCCCUCCAGAGGCUACAGGUGCUCCCGUCCUCGCGUUUGCCACCUCGAGGGCUGUGCUCCUUGCAUUCCCAGGCUCGUGGCCCCUUCUUCGCCUCACCUGACCUCUGCCUCCGUGGUCAUAUCCCUGAUUCUCACCCCUACCCUCCGUGGUUCCAUCCGCCCCAGACGAUUACCCAGCAUCAUCUCCCGUCCAAGAUCCCAAGUGCGAUGGUGGCCGCAGAGGCCACUCCAGUGCGUGGGGUCACAUCCGUGGUUCUAGGGCUGGACCCCAAUGUCUGGCGGGACACGCCCACCUCCCCCUCAUCCUGCCAUUUCCCUUGUUGAACCUUCAGUUGUGAUGUCCCGGUGGCUUUUGUACUGCUGGCUGGACUCAGCUGGUGCACUGAGAGGUGGACUCUUUUAUUACUAUUAUUUUUGGAGACAGAGUCUCGCUCUGUCACCCAGGCUGGCACUGCAACCUCCGCCUCCCAGGUUCAAGCGAUUCUCCUGCCUCAGAGACCUCCCAAGUAGCUGGGAUUACAAACUGCCACCACGCCCGGCUCAUUUUUGUAUUUUUAGUAG
rnacentral:lncRNA from 1 species